AAAAAAGAGGCACAGUGAAGCUAAAUAUAUUGGCUAAAGAUCACAAAGCUAAGAAGAUUAUCAAGGUUAUCUGUGCUCAAUGUGUGCAUCUCAGAUCAGCAGCAUCAGCAUCACCUGGGAGCUUGUUAGAGCUGGAGACUCUCAGGCUCCACGGCAGACUUCCUGAAUCAGAAGCUACAAUUUAACAGGAUCCUCGGGUGAUCUGAAAAUGCAAUAAAGUUUGGGAAGCACUGCUGUUGGUCAUUAGACAAUCUAAUGAACUAAGACUUUUGCCGAGCAUCUGAGUUGAAAUUUUUCAAGAUGAAAAGUUGCUAAAGAAAGAGAAAGGGAAGCGGUUUGCUCCAGUAUUCCUCUUUCCACCUUCCCACUGACUGGGAAGCGGCGGUUAGCAGAGCCACAGUCUUGGAUUAGAGAUAAGAGGGACAUGUUGAGGAAGGUGGAGUCUCCCCCACAGCCCUGGACCAGGCUCCAGUGCCAACAAAAGCCAAGAAGAACCUCUGGAGCAAUCAGUCUCUCUGCUGAGGGAGUGCAUUUUGCUUCCAGCACAGUGCUCAACUCACACAGUUCCCAUGGAAACCCAGGGGCUACAGAGGUGUCUAGACCCUGUUUGGCACUCUAACCAGAAGUAUUCCCAGAGACUACAAGCACACUGCACACCUUGGCUCAGUUUCAAACUGGAGACAGGCAGAGAAAGAAAGAUCUUCCUCCCCUACUUUCCCGGGGAGGUCUUGAGGAGACUUCCUUUUUGUUAGUUGUUUCCAAAUUGUCCCUAUCUGAGUGGUUCUCAAACAGUGGGUCUUCGCGUGGUCAUGAAGGGCCUGCAAGAAGAUAAGGGCACCAAGCGUGGCCUGUGGCUGAGAUAAAUGAAGCAUCUCUCAUAUAUGUGUUAUGAUUUUUCAAGUAAAUGAGGUUGCUAUUGGGCUUAAUUAAAAUAAAAACUAAUUUAAGAGCAAUGCUA
ensembl:lncRNA TNPO1-DT TNPO1 divergent transcript